rnacentral:rRNA from 1 species
UACGAAGGGGGCUAGCGUUGCUCGGAAUCACUGGGCGUAAAGCGCACGUAGGCGGAUUGCUAAGUCGGGGGUGAAAUCCUGGAGCUCAACUCCAGAACUGCCUUCGAUACUGGCGAUCUUGAGUCCGGGAGAGGUGAGUGGAACUCCGAGUGUAGAGGUGAAAUUCGUAGAUAUUCGGAAGAACACCAGUGGCGAAGGCGGCUCACUGGCCCGGUACUGACGCUGAGGUGCGAAAAGCGUGGGGAGCAAACAGG